AUUGAACGCUGGCGGCAGGCCUAACACAUGCAAGUCGAACGGUAACAGGAAGAAGCUUGCUUCUUUGCUGACAAGUGGCGGACGGGUGAGUAAUGUCUGGGAAACUGCCUGAUGGAGGGGGAUAACUACUGGAAACGGUAGCUAAUACCGCAUAACGUCGCAAGACCAAAGAGGGGGACCUUCGGGCCUCUUGCCAUCGGAUGUGCCCAGAUGGGAUUAGCUAGUAGGUGGGGUAACGGCUCACCUAGGCGACGAUCCCUAGCUGGUCUGAGAGGAUGACCAGCCACACUGGAGCUGAGACACGGUCCAGACUCCUACGGGAGGCAGCAGUGGGGAAUAUUGCACAAUGGGCGCAAGCCUGAUGCAGCCAUGCCGCGUGUAUGAAGAAGGCCUUCGGGUUGUAAAGUACUUUCAGCGGGGAGGAAGGGAGUAAAGUUAAUACCUUUGCUCAUUGACGUUACCCGCAGAAGAAGCACCGGCUAACUCCGUG
rnacentral:rRNA from 1 species